rnacentral:tRNA from 1 species
CCCGCCGGUGGCCUGGUAGGCGCGCGGGCUGCCGGCCCAGGCGGCGAUCUCGCCGUAGGUGCUGGUCCGGCCCGGCGGGA